rnacentral:rRNA from 1 species
AUUGAACGCUGGCGGCAUGCUUUACACAUGCAAGUCGAACGGCAGCGCGGGCUUCGGCCUGGCGGCGAGUGGCGAACGGGUGAGUAAUACAUCGGAACGUGCCCAGUAGUGGGGGGUAGCUCGGCGAAAGCCGGAUUAAUACCGCAUACGACCUGAGGGUGGAAGCGGGGGAUCUUCGGACCUCGCGCUAUUGGAGCGGCCGAUGGCAGAUUAGCUAGUUGGUGGGGUAAAGGCCUACCAAGGCGACGAUCUGUAGCUGGUCUGAGAGGACGACCAGCCACACUGGGACUGAGACACGGCCCAGACUCCUACGGGAGGCAGCAGUGGGGAAUUUUGGACAAUGGGCGAAAGCCUGAUCCAGCAAUGCCGCGUGUGUGAUGAAGGCCUUCGGGUUGUAAAGCACUUUUGGCGGGAACGAAAAGGACUGUGCCAAUACCACGGUUCGAUGACGGUACCCGCAGAAUAAGCACCGGCUAACUACGUG